rnacentral:lncRNA from 1 species
UGUGUAGUUCACGCUCGUCGUCAACAUCUCUGUCAUCUUCCACUCCGGCUCCCACAUCUUCACUUUCAGGCGCCUCUUCAGUUACCAGGAGAGCUAUGUCUUUGACUCCAAUAGCAAGUGACUCAUAUUCUUGUCCACUUGUUUGUAGCUUGGCUGCUCCGACAGUUGCGAGCUUCAGUCCAUAUGUUCCUCCUCCUCUUACUUUCACC